AAGCAAGAGGGAGAAUAACAAAUCACUCAUGCUCUCAAAGCCCAUACUUACAAAGAGAAAACAGGCACCGAUCAUUGCUGCUUUGACUGUUACAUCUAGAUCUGCAGGAACAUGAAUUCCGAAAUUGUCAGCAUUUGUGAAGACAUCAUUUACAAAUCCUGACCAGUACUUUGAAAUCUUCCCAAUUAUGGAGAAUAUCAGGAUAAAUAAUUAAGGCUCAGCCACCACAAGAUGGCAGCAGGUACAUAGUUCAAUUGUAUCAUCUAAGCAUGAAGGCGAUUUCUUUACUUGAGGUCCAGAUUUUAAACCUGAAUUCUCCAUCUUAAAAAUGUAAAAGAAGAUAUGUUUGAAAAAAUAUUUCAGAAGGAAUUAAAUUAAUUUCUAGGCAUAAUUUGUAAACUUUCAAAUUUCAGUUGCUAAAAUUUUAUAAUUAUUAAAACAUUUAAAUAU
ensembl:lncRNA PLSCR5-AS1 PLSCR5 antisense RNA 1